UCGCCUGAAGUCAGGUGGUCCCAGACAUGCUCAAGCUUACUUCUCAAGUUCAUUGUGAAACAGGCCCAACCUCAAGACUUCACCAUCACAGAGGAUAAGAUAGUCUGCAGAGUUGAGACUGAAGAUACUCUUUAUUCACUGGACUGGGAUUUGUAUGGCCAGCUCAUCCCUCAGAGAAGCAACAUAGUUACUCAGAAAUCUAUUGCUUACGUGAAGCUGGUCAAAAGAGACAAGGGUCGCUGGAGCCGACUUCUCAAGUCCAAAAAAAGCCUCCAACUUUGAUCAUUGACUUUGACCAGAUCCAGAACAGUGAUGAGGAGGAUGAUGAGCUUGAUGAUCCCAAUCAAAUCACAUUCCAACAGCCCAAGACAUGUAAACUAUUUAGUGUCACAUUUGAAGCUUGGCUUAUCUUUAAGCAACAAAUAACAUACUGUAGACUA
rnacentral:sRNA from 1 species